rnacentral:rRNA from 1 species
CCCUUAGAGUUUGAUCCUGGCUCAGGAUGAACGCUAGCUACAGGCUUAACACAUGCAAGUCGAGGGGCAGCAUGGUCUUAGCUUGCUAAGGCCGAUGGCGACCGGCGCACGGGUGAGUAACGCGUAUCCGACCUGCCUUACACUCUUGGACAGCCUUCUGAAAGGGAGAUUAAUACAAGAUGUUAUCAUGAGUAAGCAUUUUCACAUGAUUAAAGGUCUACCGGUGUAAGAUGGGGAUGCGUUCCAUUAGAUAGUAGGCGGGGUAACGGCCCACCUAGUCUUCGAUGGAUAGGGGUUCUGAGAGGAAGGUCCCCCACAUUGGAACUGAGACACGGUCCAAACUCCUACGGGAGGCAGCAGUGAGGAAUAUUGGUCAAUGGACGAGAGUCUGAACCAGCCAAGUAGCGUGAAGGAUGAAGGUUCUAUGGAUUGUAAACUUCUUUUAUACGGGAAUAAACGAAUCCACG